rnacentral:rRNA from 1 species
AUGGUGCGGCUUAGGUCAACUAAUAUGAAGAAGAUACAAUUCACUCAACGAUUGCCCUUGGGUCCCGAACUCCAUAUGGGGAAGGAACGUUGUUGUUUGCGAGGUCUCGAUCAUUUACAUGCACCCACUUCUCAUUCCAUUUGUGGGAAUUUGAUGAUUUAUAAACCGUCCCCAACGAGCGAAAGGUCCAUGUUUGAACAUGAUGAAUCACUUCGUGCUGACCUGUUGCCCAUAAACUUUCCUGCCUCAUAUGAGAAUGGAAAACUGGAAGAUUUUCUGCAUCGGUGGAUGAAGAAUCACGAACAUAAGAAUUUCUGGUUUAGCAUGUUCCCAGAAAGAAGAUACUUUUUUUCCAUUCGAGAAACGAGGAGCAUGACUGAAGUGGCUAUACAUACAAAUCCAUUUACGGAUCUAUAUGCUCCGAUUGGAACUGGAAGUUCCAGAACUGGCGGCUGG